rnacentral:rRNA from 1 species
AUUGAACGCUGGCGGCAGGCCUAACACAUGCAAGUCGAACGGUAACAGGAAGAAGCUUGCUUCUUUGCUGACGAGUGGCGGACGGGUGAGUAAUGUCUGGGAAACUGCCUGAUGGAGGGGGAUAACUACUGGAAACGGUAGCUAAUACCGCAUAACGUCGCAAGACCAAAGCGGGGGACCUUCGGGCCUCUUGCCAUCGGAUGUGCCCAGAUGGGAUUAGCUAGUAGGUGGGGUAACGGCUCACCUAGGCGACGAUCCCUAGCUGGUCUGAGAGGAUGACCAGCCACACUGGAACUGAGACACGGUCCAGACUCCUACGGGAGGCAGCAGUGGGGAAUAUUGCACAAUGGGCGCAAGCCUGAUGCAGCCAUGCCGCGUGUAUGAAGAAGGCCUUCGGGUUGUAAAGUACUUGCAGCGGGGAGGAAGGGAGUAAAGUUAAUACCUUUGCUCAUUGACGUUACCCGCAGAAGAAGCACCGGCUAACUCCGUG